GGGGGGGGGGGGCCUGGGAUUUUUAUUGUGUUCAUAAUUUUUUUUCAGAACCUUCCUGCGACAAAAUAUUUUUUUUCUUAUGAGAAGGAAAGCAAAAUUUUUUUCCUAUAAUGUGGAACAGAAAUACAAUUUUUUUUCACAAAACCAUAAAAUUAACAUAAAAUUCAUUUUAAUUUUUUAAUUGAUGUAAAAUGUAAAGUGCAUGGCUCUGUCUAUAUCCUGGCAUUGACUGUUGUCUCAGUUGGUUUUUUAGCCCACUUUCUACAUUAUGAUAUUCUCGGAGUCCGUCAUACAGGUAUCCUUAAAUUUUAAUACUGCAAUUGAAGUGGCCACCAUUGCCAUAUGUAAUUGCAAAUAGUGAGUAGCUCCAACUUAUAAAAUCCACUGUUUCCAACUAUGAUAAUUGACAUUCCAUUGAAAAAAGUGGUAUAAAGAAUGAUACAAACGGAAAAUACUACCAGUAUACAAGUCUGUGUCAUACACACUCAGGGCUAUCUUAAAAGACUGCUUAUGAUACCAUAUCUAUUACUG
rnacentral:lncRNA from 1 species